CUGAAAUAAAAUUGAAAAGAAUUUAAACUUGUUUUGUUUUCUAGUUCCUGGGAAUUAGAAAUUCUUGCUACACAUGAGUGCUGUGGUCCAGUCUCCUCCCCCUUAUUACUAAACAAAAGCAGAGCACAACAGAAAUAGAAACCAGUGCGGGAGUCUGCCCCCACUUCUUCCUUUGUAUCACAAUGCUUUUUUAAUUUUUUUUUUUUGUCAAAUCACAUCUUGGCGUAUUCAUCGUGAAUGUGUCUUCUUAGAGGCCUCAAAGAGACUGAAAGCAUGUGAAGGGUGUUCUAGUUAGGAGAAGGACCACGUGAGAUCUGCGUCUCUUUCAGCUCUUCUUAGCCCCAAGUCGGUGGGCUUACUCUGAAGUUGUCGACGGAAGGGUAAUAAAGCCAAGUGUGUGGCUUUAUCAGUGCUGACUGGACCAUUGUGCCACGGGAUGAGGACGCCUUGACCAAACUGCUCAAACCCUAUUUUACUUCCAAGAAGAUGAUGAACAUUGAAGAACCUUUGCAUGGAGUUUGCUUCUAUUUGACAAGCUAGCCACUUGGCAAGAAAUUGCCGUUGCUCCAACUGCUGACAGUAUACUAUCCAAACUGGACAAACAGUAUGCUGAGAAUUCAACUGCCAAGCUAUGCAAGGUUGUGGUGGUUUGAAUAUGCUCAGCUAGAGUAGGGGCGGCCUUGAUGAAGGAAGUGUCUUACUGAGAAGGAGGGCUUUGAGACUCUCUUCCUAGCUGUCUGGAAGAUAGUCUGUGCUCCUAGCUUCUUUUGAAUGAAGAUGUAGAACUCUCCAUUCCUCCAGCACCAUGUCUGACUGCACACUGCCAUGCUUUCUGCUAUGGCGAUAAUGGACUAAACCUCUGAAACUUUGAGCCAGUCCCAAUUAAAUGUUUGCCUUUAUAAAA